GAUGAAGAACGCAGCGAAAUGCGAUAAGUAAUGUGAAUUGCAGAAUUCAGUGAAUCAUCGAAUCUUUGAACGCACAUUGCGCCCGCCAGUAUUCUGGCGGACAUGCCUGUUCGAGCGUCAUUACAACCCUCAGGCCCCCGGGCCUGGCGUUGGGGAUCGGCGGAAGCCCCCUGCGGGCACAACGCCGUCCCCCAAAUACAGUGGCGGUCCCGCCGCAGCUUCCAUUGCGUAGUAGCUAACACCUCGCAACUGGAGAGCGGCGCGGCCACGCCGUAAAACACCCAACUUCUGAAUGUUGACCUCGAAUCAGGUAGGAAUACCCGCUGAACUUAAGCAUAUCAAUAAGCGGAGGA
rnacentral:misc_RNA from 1 species